UAUGGCUAGUCUACAACUUCAGUGCUCUCUACAGGGUUCUACUGCCCUGAACAUCACUCAAAUCUGGACUGUUCCACCAAAAUAGGAAAGCUUUGGAAGCUGUAUGGGAUUUGUGCACAAGUCUACUUGUUUGUCUUUUCAUCAUAUGCAGCCCUUCAUUCAUAAAAUAAAGUGAUAAUGCAGUGGAGCAGAGCUGUGAUAUACCCACAAUACGGGGAUACGACAGGUCAGUGUUACACUUUAUCAGCGUCUGUGGAGGGGACAGGCAUUAAACAUAGAAACAUAGAAUGUGAC